AGAAGUUUCCAGAGAUGGAUUGGUGCCUUCGGGAACUCUGAGACAGGUGCUGCAUGGCUGUCGUCAGCUCGUGUUGUGAAAUGUUGGGUUAAGUCCCGCAACGAGCGCAACCCUUAUCCUUGUUUGCCAGCGAGUAAUGUCGGGAACUCCAGGGAGACUGCCGGUGAUAAACCGGAGGAAGGUGGGGACGACGUCAAGUCAUCAUGGCCCUUACGAGUAGGGCUACACACGUGCUACAAUGGCGCAUACAGAGGGCGGCCAACUUGCGAGAGUGAGCGAAUCCCAAAAAGUGCGUCGUAGUCCGGAUUGGAGUCUGCAACUCGACUCCAUGAAGUCGGAAUCGCUAGUAAUCGUGGAUCAGAAUGCCACGGUGAAUACGUUCCCGGGCCUUGUACACACCGCCCGUCACACCAUGGGAGUGGGCUGCAAAAGAAGUAGGUAGUUUAACCUUCGGGGGGACGCU
rnacentral:rRNA from 1 species